rnacentral:rRNA from 1 species
GACGAACGCUGGCGGCAUGCCUAACACAUGCAAGUCGAGCGAGUAGAUCCCUUCGGGGUGAAGCUAGCGGCGGACGGGUGAGUAACACGUGGGCAACCUGCCUCAUAGAGGGGAAUAGCCUUCCGAAAGGAAGAUUAAUACCGCAUAAGAUUGUAGUACCGCAUGGUAUAGCAAUUAAAGGAGCAAUCCGCUAUGAGAUGGGCCCGCGGCGCAUUAGCUAGUUGGUGAGGUACGGCUUACCACGGCGACGAUGCGGAGCCGACCUGAGAGGGUGAUCGGCCACAUUGGGACUGAGACACGGCCCAGACUCCUACGGGAGGCAGCAGUGGGGAAUAUUGCACAAUGGGGGAAACCCUGAUGCAGCAAUGCCGCGUGAGCGAUGACGGCCUUCGGGUUGUAAAGCUCUGUCUUCGGGACGAUAAUGACGGUACCCGAGGAGGAAGCCACGGCUAACUACGUGCCAGCAGCCGCAGUAA